GGGGGCCGCGCGCUCUCCCUCGCUCCCUCAGCGGCAUUCGUCCGUGCUUCCCUCAGGCGGCUUUGCCUUCUCGGAGAGAAGGGGCGCAAGACCUGCUUACCCCCGCUGCAGGUUUGUCUUUCAGAUCAACAAGAAUCCUGAAGGGAAGUGCACCUUCUCCCUACCUCCAUCCCACCUAGCAGCACUCCUCUGAACACCAGCAGCCUGCAAUUGGCUUGCCAUCACUGUGGCUGCAGAGAUGUUUCUGAAAAUGUUUGUUUUCCUAAGUACAGUGGUGAAAGAGAAUGGCUGGGUCUGUACCUUGUUCUCUCUGGAUGUGCACAAAGCAGUCAACCAUAUCCCUGCACUACUGCUCUGCCUGGAUCUGCUUGUCAAUGUAUUUUUAUUUUUUCAAACAGAAAUCUCUCAGAUAAUUUAUAGAUGGAAAAUAGAAAUGUAAAAGCACUACUGUUGCAACUCAGCUCUGUACAUCUCAAGCUGAUAUGUUGUCAUCAAGGAACCACCAAUUUUUGAAAGGGCUGAAUAACAAAACCUUCCAUCAUACACUUAAACUUCAGGCUUAAGACUUCUACUGUGUGAAAUGAAAGCAACUCUUGAACAAUUCAAACCAAGCUGUGAAUGACCCAGUGAGCAUGAGCAGUCAAAGGCAUUUAAAGGAUCAGUUUAGAAUUACUCUGAGUGCAAUCUACUAGUUGAAACGAGCUAAGGAUUUGACCAUGAGAACCUAAAGAACUGAAUUUAAUUUCCUAAAUACAUAUAUAUUUUUUCUUUUGAUCCCACUGCUAGCAAGUACAGGCAGUGAAAGAAAAAAAAUUGCACUAUUGACAAAGGCUGUGAUAGGACACUAUGCAGAUGACCAAAUCUAAAUGUGCUGGCUGGGGGUAAAAAAUAGGACCCAAGAAAAUCAAACAUUUUAAACUAGAUCUUUAGUAAAACUAUCUACAUACAUAAACAAAUACCAUCAGAGCAGCUAGUUUGUCUACUACGAACCUUUCAGCAAUUAGUAGGGAAGCUGAAUUCUGUAGAAGCCUUCUGAUUUUGCAAGCAUUCCUUCCCUUGCCUCAUACAGAUAGAACCUUUUUUUUUUCCAGCAUCCAGCAUUAGACUGUAGAAGGCCUAGCUAAACAAAUACUGUUUAAAUGAACAAAAAGAGAAAAUAUGUAACCUUAAAAGAAAUUAGAAUAGCACUGUACUGGUCUUUUAAAAAUAUACAUUUUUUAUUAUGAAAUUAUGAACAUAAUACAAAAGUAGCUAUCCAUGCAUUGGUCUUAAACAAAAAUAUCACCCUCAGCACACCUCUUCUGUGUCUUCAAAACUGCUUUUUUAACAAAUGUAAGCAUUAUUUAUGAUAAAAGUCAUGAAAUCAGGUAAAACAUCAGUUACCGCUGUAGGUCUAACAGUGUGCACUAGCAAAAAUGUUACACCACCAGUUUUGGGUGGCUAAACAUCAUCAUUCUUUUAAAAGGUUUCUUUUUGUUGUGAUUAACACAAUGUUACUGAAAAUAUUUGUGUAUUUUUCAUGUGCUUAGAAGCACAAAGUUUUCAUUAAUUGGGAAAUUUACUUUUCCCUAUCAGUGACUGCCAAAUAUUCACAGAGCACUUUGAGGAUAUCAGUGUAUCAUUUCACAUUGAAUACUGGACAGUGAAGAGCAGUGAAUGUACUUAUUAUGGGAGGCCUUCACAUAAUGAAGUUACAAGGAGGAUAAAUAAUUUGACAAUAGAUAAAUACAAAAACUUUGGUGCUCUGAAAUUUUUUAUAAGUAUUCAACUGAUGAGGUCAUUAGAAUCAUCUCUAAAGUUUCAUCGGUGUCAAAUCAAAAGGUAGAUUUACCUUUUUAAAAGCAUUUCAAAGGUGAACCAUCGGCAGUCACCUCAAUUGAGUUAAUUUCUCGCUACCCUUAAAUGCUUUGAGAGAUGAGAACAAGGAUGGCUGAAUAUUCAGGAAGUUCAUCUACGUAGCUAAACCGAAGGACAGCUUAAAGGCCAGCUCAACAGCGACUUCCGCGACUGAGUCAUGGAAACAAACAUAAAACUCCUGUGGUUUUGGAUGCAAGAAGAGUCUCCUGAAGAAAAAGAACACAAAAAAAACCCCACAAAAAUAAGAAAUCACAGGUGUUAGCUUUUUGCAAUUGCUGUGUAAUACGGCUAGCAAAUUUCUGUGGCCCUCCUGCAUGAUUUUACUGUUCUCAUAUGUUAGAAUCCUAAGAUAAGUUAUUCUCUGUUCAGUUUUCCCAAGCCUAUUAAAAAAAGUUUUUCAUGUUUUUAGUAGGUAUUUUGAUGUUACUUUUGUUUUUGCAUUGGGUUACAUGGGAGCAAACGCCAGUAUUUACAUAUUUAGUCAUUUUUAAACUUAAUACAACCUAGCAGGUACAUUCCUGCGUCACUCCAACAGACUCUUUGAGGGAAGGAACUAAAAUAGGAAAGCUGUUAAUAUACCUUUGUAUAACUGUAUGUAGCAUUAUAACAUAGCACAUAGUUCUUUAAGUAUUAAUGAACUGUCCUUGGUCAUCCUGCUGACUGACUAAUCCUAACAAGACUGUCUGCUAACUGCAGCUAAAUAUUAGGCAUCACAAAAUAUGGUCGGUGAGAAGUGAUGGCUACAGAAUGUGGCUUGCUGGCCUGGUCUUAAACAAUUAAAUUAUUUGUAAUGUUCUGAAUCAUCAAGUGAUGAUGCAUAGUAUUUUCUCAUUACACUUGAUUACUUUGAAUAAAAGCUCUUGUAUUUAAAUAUUUAAUACCUAGGGCAGCACACUGUUCUGUCAUGCAAGUAAGUUUUAAUUUAAAUUAUAUGACAUCACAGUAAGUAGAUCAUUUGUGCUGACAGCAGAACUUGGAAAGCAAAUCCAGGAAAGAAUGCUCCCUCCCCAAAACAUCUCAGAUAGACCAGUAGGUGGAUUUGAUCUUCCCAGUUGAAAAAAUAUUCUUAAAUAUGAUAGCAGCAUACUCAAAAUGGAAGGCUUGGAGAGAAAUAGAUUUGUCUGCCUUUAAACUUACCCCACAACCCAGUAACUCAGUGUUGGUGGUGGUUUCUUCUGAUCAUUCCAGUUCUCAGGAGAGCACUCAAACAGAACUCCGUGUUCCCUUACUGGACCAAUGUCUUCAUCGGUACUACUAAAUUCUGAGAUCUUACUGCCUGCUUUCUUCUUUUUCUGUAAAACAGUUGGUGAAGUGUUGGUAUAGAUAUAUUGUUUUAAUGCAAACAUUAGUAUAUGUAACUUUAACAUGCUUUCUUCAGAAAGCUGCUGAAUGACAUUGCUGUCCAAAAGCCGGAUAGAAGAUAAAACUAUUUUGCUCACGUGAUUCUUUUCUUCAGUUUUGUUACUUCAGUAUCAACAUUUUAGUAUUUUUUAAUUUUUUAAUAUUUUUUAUAAAAUAUUUUUUAAAUAUUGUUACACAAUUUGGAAGUACUCCCCUUAUUUUGAUUUUUUGGUCUAUCUGAACAGCAUUCUCUUUAAUAAGACAUCUGAGAUAAAGCAGCUUCAUUAACAACCAAGUACGUUAAAGCAGCUAAAGCUCUCAUCUCUUGCUUUAAAUUAACGGUAUAAUAGUACAUUUUUGCCUUAUUUUUUUUCUUUUUGUCAAGCCCUAUGAACACAGAAGAAGUUCUAUUCAUUCUUUUACAUUCUCCUUGUGCCCCAAUACAACCUGGCAACUACAACAUUAAUUGUUGAAGCCAACUGACGAAAACUACCAUGGAUUUUUGGAGUCAAAAUACUCUUAGUUAACAAGCUGGCUUACACAGGUUUCUCAGAUUUUCCUCUAAAAGAAACUUUGUUCUGCAGCACAUGUUCAAUUGUUUCUGACUUUCAGGGCAUAAUGAACCCAGCUGCUGCUUAUGGUAAAGACACACACCUGAAGAACCCAGAAAAACACGUGCUGACACAGCUGUUGCCAAAACAGAAGCUGUCACUUUCAAGCAUGCAUUCUUCACUUUUUAUGAUCUACAUGUAAUAGUUGAAUGGUUUGUUUACUCAGGUAUCUUUAGUUUGAACUACAAGCUGCCUAUUUAACGAUUUUAACCAAAGGCAAUUUGAUCAGAAGAAACAUCUGUGUACUCUCUCUGCUUGCUUUUGUGUUUCCAAAUCUCCUGCCAAAGUGCCCAGAACAAAAGACGCACUGCAAAUGUCUUAUUCAGCCAAACAUCAGCAUCUUAUGGUGUUGGCAGAAUAAUCCACCAAAUUAAGCUGUUUUUCCUAAUGCUUAAAAAAAAAAAAAAAAAGAAGAAAAAUAAAGAUUUAUGAGGUACAUCAGUCUAACCAGAAAUGACUUCUUCGGUAACUUCAAGAAAACACAGAGGAAAAUAAUACUGAUACUUGCAAACUGCAUUCAUUCAAUUUGUACUGUUCUUUCGCAUUUCACAUUUAAUGCAUUUGGACUGUCACUUAAGGACCUAAGAACAUGCAAGUGGUAUACAGUAUUCCACUUGUGAUAAUAUUAUUUCUUUUUUCCAAAGAGACUAAACAGGUCACAAAAUCAGCAGGGAUUAAAUGUUACCCAAUUCAGUUUGUGUCAGUAAAAAUCAACUGCAGAAUUAACAAACUAGACUCUGAACAAAACAAAACUGGUAUUGAACACAAAACAUCUGAUCUGAGCAUCUCAAAUUGAUUCUCAUAGCUAUUGUUUAGAUUUCUGCAUUACUUUGGAUGAAUCAUUUGAAGAAAGCAGGAAACUACAGUGAAGCACAAGGCAGAAGAGUUGCUGACAUCAGAUCUAUCCUCUUUUUUUCUACCUUUUUUUUUUUCUUCCCUAAAUGCCAAACACUCAAGUGAAGCUCUAGUAGCAGGGAUCAGGAUUCAGCCCAAGGCUAGAGCAAGGCUUGAACAUUUUGUAAAGAGAAAAAAGCUCACCUGUUGUGCCAUCCCACAUAAUCUGAAAUCCAAGAGAUUAUUUGGCAGCAUAAUUAAAAAGAAUUGAUCGUUGUAACCAGCCAGAUACUAGACAGAUAUUAACGUGAGAAAAAUAUCAGAGACAUCAGUGGGUGGCAAAUGUGUAAGCAAGCUCAGGUAGCGCAGAGAACAAAGGCACUGAGAACAAACAUUCCCUCAGCUUCAGAGAGGCUCUCUUCAAGACACACCAUCAGAGCAGCAAGGGGAGCACUGGCACUGCUCAUAUCAAACAUUUGCUGUGCAAAGAGAGGGCAUCCAUUUACUUUUUCCUACAGUCUGAAAUGUCCUUGUAGGAUUAAUACGACUAAAAGAAUCUAACAGUCCUCUUGUGCUACUUCCUACACUUCAACCCAAUGUGCGAGAACUUUGUGCUAAGUUACAGAGCUCUAAAAUCAAGCAGAAAAAAGAAAAUAACAUACUGAAUUCAUGGAGUAUUUAUUCUAAGGGCAUGGCAGGUAGAACCAUAGUUACAUGCAUACAGGGUUGGAUGUUCAGACAGAAAAUCUGCCUAUUGCAGUAAAAGAGUCAAGUGCUUUUAAACAACCACACAAAGAAUUGCCUGCUAGUGAACUUUUUAAACAAAGAAGUGAAAAUAAUAUUGAAAUAAUAAAUUGAGAACGUAAAUAGAGAGAAAAGCUGAAAACAAAGCUUACAUACUUCUUUCAUCAUGCACUGCUGAAAAACUGAACGAAUUGAGAGACAGCAACGAUGGAAAUUCUCAAUUAACCGAGGGUGGAUGGAGCCCCCGAGCCGUGCAACUUCCUUGUGAGUCGGAGUAAUAAAGAUUCCAUGCAUUGUUUCCAAAGAUAGAUAGUGGAAUAGGGUAUUCUCAGGACCAGAUGUCAACCUUCAAAAAUAGGAUAAUCAUUUUAAUAUUUAAAUAAAUCUGAAUGAAAUUUCAGUUAAACAAUAUGUACAAUUUUCUUAUAAUUGUUUUUCUGGUAGCUGCAAUGGAGUACUAAAAUGGAGACAUUAGAAAGGUGCUUAUUUCUAUAUCAAGGAAAUCUGCUAAUUUGGACUGCUUAUAUUAAAAUUUAACACGUAAGUGUAGUUAGCUAUUGAGCUUGUGCUCUCAAAAAAAGUUCUGAAGAAAACCACAACCCUAAAGCUUUCUUUUGCACUCCAACAAAAUACCAGAGCAGACAGUGUUGUCCAAAGAACAGGGGGAAACUAGGAAGAGCCACAGCUUCUGUACUUUGUUCACCUACCAAGAAACAACAAGGAGGAAUGAGGUGCACGUGAGCCAAAAAUGCAUUCACUUGAAUUUCUGCAUUCACAUAUAUGUUGGACAUGUAUACAUUCCACUGAAAUAUGCUUGAGAAAGUCUUCUAAGAGUUCACAUAGCAAGGUUUUGGUUACAAUAAAAUUAUGCAAGGAUAUGUACCUCUUUAAAAAAACAUGCAUGUAUGACUUUAAAAAUGAAAUAAUUGUUUUUUUUAAAAAAACAAUUUCUUACUUGAUAGUGUUAAAAAGUUCCAUGUCCUUCUCUGACAAGUUCUUCUUAAGGUUUCCUAAAUGAAAUGGAUUUGGUAGAGUAUGUUUUUUUCUAGCAACCUGAAAAACAAGUAGAUGGGUGAACUAACAGAAGAUAUUGACAAGGAAAGAAUAGAAUUAAAUAAAGAAAUUACCUAUUUAAAAGAAAAAUAAUGUAUUGCUUUCGAGAAGCCCCAGUCACAUCAAUUAAUGUAAAAUGUAUUUUAGUCUAUUUUUGGCCAAAUUGAUGAGAAGCAGUUGUACAACCACACAGCAAGUUGUCCUUACUGCUUUUGUUUACACCAUUAUUAUUUUGGGGAUAUUCUCCAAUUACUUACUCUAAUUCCAACACAGCUGUCCCCAGUUUAGUCAGCUGAAAACCAAAUAUUUAGAAGCAACAAUAAUCCAAAUAAAAAGGUGACAGCUGGGAGGCUGACUCAAAGUUUCCCAAAGCAACUCAAGUAUCUUCUACUGAAUUCAGGGACAUUUUAUUCAGCUCUGCUUUGGGAUUUUUGCUUGUUUGCUUGUUUUAAGUUAGUGAAUUUUGGUAAGAACUGCCACUUUCCCCAAGCCCACCAAAACCUGUUCUGUUUUCAGACCUGAUCUGCUAGAGAGUGUAGAUUAUUGCUUUCAUCUUCUGCAGGACCUUCAUUACCAUGGUCAGGUCCUCCACUGUUUCUUGUAGGACUUGGCUUACGUGUUGUUAAGGAAGAGUCACCAAACAGAGUCCUUUUGCUUGCUGGAGUAGUUCCUGUUCUGGAGGCAUUUUGUAUCUUACUUAGGAUAGGUGAGGUGGUUAAGCUCUCCAGUUUGUCACGUGUUGUAGGAAGGAACCAGUCAGCACAAGAUAAAGGUGGAAUGGAAGGAGAAUCUAGCCUCUCCUCUAUGCUGGCAUCUAUACCUUCCAGUUGAAGUAUAGUGGCUUUGACCUGGUCUACAUAUAUACAGUCUGGUCCUGGAUUCCCAAUGGCUUUUGAUGCACAGCCUCCUGCCUCUAGCAGAACACACAGCAUAAAGUGUCUCUGUAAACAUGGAGGUAGCAACAUUAGCCUUUGAUUUAAAAUACACUAUUUACUAUAUUAUAUCUCACCAGAUGGUUGGACAAAAAACAGUACUAUACUCAGGAGCCCUUCCUCCUCCCCAGAGCCAUUUUUAAGUUAUCCUUUCACAUUAUCUAAGUUAUCAUGCAAAUGAAAGCUAUGGUUUGCAUACUCAUCAGAUAUUAGACAAAAAGCAUAAUGAUUUAAAAAAACAUUUCUUCAGUGAGUUAUCUGAAAAUACAGGAUCAUUAAAGUAAAACAUUUCCAACUGAAGUGGAAAAGUAUAAAAAUAACAAGAUGCAAACAAUUCUACUACCUAAUAAAUAAUGUCCCAUGAAACAGAUAAAAUAGGAAUAUUUUCUAAAAUUACUAAAUUAACAUGUGGACAAUUAUGAUCUUGCUGAAUAUCAGACAAAACAAUAAUAAAGCAGAGCAUACAAAAAGGGGUAUACAUAACAGGGAAAUGCUUACUUACCAAGCCAACUAUCAAUAAGAAGUAUCUCGCUUCGGGUUCAGUGUAUCCUGUAAAAUCUGGCACUUCACAUGAUUGGAUAUGAUGUUGUGGAAAUACUUCCCGCCAUAUCACUAACUGACCAAUCUUCUGUUCUGCUGCCAAGGGUAACAGACAAUAGUGCUGGCUAUAUAAACCUAUAUCAAUGAGAUCUUCCUUUGGCAAGUGAUUGCCAAUCAAGUAACCCUUAAUUGAACACAGAAAAGGAAGCGUAUUCAGUAAGAAACUUGUUGACCAAAAAAACUCAAAAAACAAAAAAGCCCCAAACCAAACUGUGCUGAUAAUUUACUCUCAUAAUACUACAGGUAUAAAGAUCAAGUGCAUGACAGUUAGUUUCCUUAAAGCAAAGGGUGCUGUCUUCCUCUGUCUUUACCUUGUCAAAUACACUACCUACAUUUAAUAAGAUAGGUAAGUUUACAAAUAAGGCCCAAAUGAAAAAGCUGGCAAUCCAAUUUGUCAAAUCUUAGAUUUGAAGACAGAUCAAAGAUAGAUGACUGGCUGUCAUCUUUAUUAAAUAACAGCAAUGCAAAGAAAAAUCCUGGUAGAAUAUCAUACCGAAUCAAUUCAAGUGAGUCUUCCAUCUCAUAUUACUGUCUUUCUUCAAUCCUUGCAUCACAUGCAACAGAAUUUCCAUAAGACAGCUUCAAACAAAUAUUUUAGUUUUAUUGAUCAUAUAGCAUGUAUCACUUUAUGAUCUUUUUGUUGAUGUUUUUGUUACAGUGUUUUUAAUCUCUUACUAGAACUAUGUAUUUAAAGCAAACAUACAUUUAUCAUAUUUAUGAGGUUCUGAAAAGAGUUACUGCAUGACUGGAUUUUUGAAUGUUUUGCUUUCCCAACCUGUAGGCCUUAACCAGUAAUACUACCUUGUAGAAGAGACAGGAGCCCAUAAUCAUAUAUAAUCUUCUCAUGUUGUAGUAAUCUUCAGACUGCGAACAAAAGCAUGAGUUUUUAGUUCAGGCUUUUUAUUUUACAGAGUGAAUACAAGGAAACUAAUUCCAGUCAAUCAGUAUUAUUUCAUAUUUUCAUUUUUGACCACUUAUAUUGAUCGGGCAUCAGAACAGCAUUAAUAAGAAUAUUUUGAGCAGUUAAGUGAAAUACAAAGUUUUAGCCUACAUAAUAAAUUUUCAUGUCACCAUAGUUUUCAGCUCAAAAUAAGAUGCUCAGAUUUCCCAUCCAGCGUUUAUCUGCCCAUAAACAAACUUUUCAAGAGAUGAUAAUUCUUACAGCAUACUGAAGCGUAACUACUGACACCAGAGACCCUUGUAGAGCAAAACUUCCAAGUCAAAGCAUUUUUAAUAGUUUUUUGCAAUUUUACCCCAAAUAUGCCUACUCAUAGAUCUUUUAGUUUACUUGCCCAUUGCUCUCAGAGUAUUAAGACUAACUUUAUAUGGAUACAGAGUAUUUUAAAUGAUUGGGUGCAAUCCAUUUAUUUGCAAUAAAAUACAACUUCCUCUUCUGAAAAUAUUCAUCCAGCCUGUUUGGCACCACUUUUUUUAAUUUGUUUUGAAAGACUGACUAUAUGACUGCCUAACUUGUAUUUUUAGCUUCAAGCAUCAUGAAUUAUCUGAACAAGAUUUCAGUGCAUUUACAUCUCACCAUCCUGUUCACCAAGUAGAAAGCAUAUGCUCAAGUAAAUUACUAUCUUCUCCUUUAAGAUUAUGUAUAACUUGUAAUUGCUUUAUUCAAACUGGUAAGUUAAGUUCUCAGUGCUCCACUGAAACCUUUUGUUUUAUUCACAAUUACUUGGGAAGGAGACAGUUACUGCAUGCAAACAACAAAAUGCUAACAACAAAAGUAAACAUUUACCAGUUCAGCAAAAUCAGCUGCUUCAAGAUCACUCAGUGCCGUGUCAAUUUCCAUCUGAAAUAUUAAGCAGUACAUUUUAAUAGAGGCUUCCAACAUACUAAUUUACAGUAAAAGCAUAAUUCACUUUAUCUUGCUAAUCUUAGGGGAUUAACAUUCACAAGUACAAAGUUGGAUGGACAAAAACACGCAUACUUUUUAACAGCAAUAUCAAGUACCAAGAACACCUCAAUUCAUCAGGUUAAAGAAAAAUAUUCAAUUGCUAUGUGUUUCCCCCUUCUUUGAAACUAAAAUGUCUCUUCUUCUACGCCUCCUGAACCCACUGUGCUGUAUAUAAAGAUGUCGCACUUAGUUUCAGUAUGUUUUAAAACAUGAGGUCUAGAGACUACUCCCUGAAGGCUACUAUAUCAAACUGAGCUUUUAGAAAAAUCUUUUUCCACAACGGAUUUAGUCUUUACCUCUAAGGAAAUUUCCAAAACUUCACAACGUAUGAUCUGUGUUCUACUGAACCCGCUUUAUGCGGGUGCAUUUCUCUUCAUGCAGGAGCUGUUGGUUAAUGCAAGUUUUACUAAAAAUACAUUGCCUUGAAGAACGUCAGUAGCCACUGAAGUUCAUGACAUAAAUGUGCUACUAAUAAAAAGAACCUACAACCCACCAUGACAGGCUCCCUGGGCUGUUUAAACAAGCUGACUCUAAUUGAAAUACAGCCGGUUUCACAAACAGAAACAUCAGCUACACUGUUGGCAGUCAACAAGUAACCAACAUCUCAGCUUUUUCCUCACUUAAGAUGUAAAUGGCUUUCUGCCCAACUAAAGAACUGACAUUUGUAUUCACCAAAGAAUACAUAAAUAAAAAACAUCUUCACUAAAUUUAUCUACCAGAAAUUUCCUCUUUGUCUAGAAAAAAAAAUCUUGAAGAUGUGGAUGAUCUAAGAUAAUUUUGGAAAUCCAUGUUCAUAUCAUACAUAGUAAAGCAAACUGUUUUGUAAACCCCUCUAAAAUCCUGUCAUUUUAUAAGAAGGUAAACAACCUGCAAGCUAAAAUAGAGACUGAAGCAUUACAGUCUCUCUCAGCAGAAAUGUGAGAAAGAAGAAAAAAAGCACGGAGGAAAAGAAAGGCUCACCACCAAAUAGUACAAGAAAAUAAAAGUAUCAUUUUCUUGAGAGGAAAAAAAAAACGUGAUAAUAGAGGUGUACUAAGUUACAUUUCUAAUGUACAUCACUGUGCUGACUAACCACGUUUUACAACUAAGAAAUGCAUAGACAUUUUAAUCCCCUCAAUUACGGAGCAUGAAUUUUGCAAGAGAGUGGAUGGGUGUGUGUUACAAGGGCUAUGUGCACACCUCACCAUUUUUCACUUGGAUAGCAGAUAUAACUGGGAUAAGGAGAUGAAAGCAAUUGUCCUGCAGCACUCAAGAAACACGUACUUCUGUUGCUAAAACAUAUACUGCAAAAGCAGAGACUAAAAUUCUCCCCCACUCAUAAAUAUGACAUGCAAACUGCUCUUCACAUGAAAUGGAAAGUAAUAUCCUAAUUACAGAAUUGAAAAUAUAUAAAAAUCUUGAAGGCAAAAAUGAUUCCUAGAUUCACUAAAGUUCAUUAAAGGACAGAAAAUGAAAACGUAGUGAAUCUUUCUUUCACUCACUUCGGGCCAUUGAAGUAUGUGCACUGUACAGAAAGUUACUUUCUCAACUGGAACCUGGCUAGGUACUAGAGUGUUUAUACGACAGUGUCUUUGUUCUAAAUAGAAAAGGUGGUCCAAUUUUAAAAUGCAUCUGUCUCAUUAAGGAUCAACAGAUUUACAAAGUAAUUAGCUGUCUAGUCCUCAUGUUUAGGUCCUUGAAUGAUACCUGCAGUAUAGAAGUACCUUUUUGAGCUAGACUUUUCAAUUCAGGCUUCAUAAUUGAUGCAGAUGAGUCCUGCACCGCACUGGAGUCCUAAGAGAUUAUUCAUCUAAUACUAAAGCAAAAAGCUGGAGUAAAAGAGUUGAAUUGCCAGAUUUUUCCCCACUAAUAACAGGAAGAGUUCAAGAUUUGAACUUUAACUAUAGUAAUUUAUAUCACAGGUCUGACAGAAGGUGAGAUGGGUGCUACCCCAAGUCUUCACACUAACAGAACAAAUAGCAGCUUCAAGGAAUAUAUGAGCGUUUAACCUGACUCUGAGAAACUCUGGAAACAGUUAAGAAAUAUAGCACAUUGGGAAUAGCAGAAGGGGAGUUAUACUGAAGCUACUACACAUGAUACAGUGGUUUAACACAUUUGCAGAGUGCUGUUGACAUCCAGAGUGACUCCGGUUAUGUGAAUGAUUUAACCAAAUGAAGGACAACAUUCUCUGAAAUAACAAAGGCUAUUUCAAGAGAGUCCUACUGGUGUUAAGAAUGAAACAAGAAGUAAGAAGAACAGAAUCCUGGCUUUGUGCAAAGGGAAAUAACAAAUAAGAUAAAUACUGUGGUACUGUAUGUUUUAAUGGAAGCAGUCUCAUAGUGGAGAUAAAAACACGGAAGGCUACUAAGAAUUGUAUCUCCUCUGUCUUGUGCUGUUAAACAUCUCAGAGGUUCUGCUGCUUCCAAGCCUAUCAUUGAAGAACAAGUGGCUGCAGAGACAAGCUCUAGCAUCACUGCUACCUGUCACAGCCAACACACAAUAUCAUUUUAAUUCGCGCAUACUAAAGAGCAAUAAUAACGAAGUUGAAGAAGCGCCUUUUUGGAUCUUUAAAUCACAAAAAUAACCACAUUAUUGUGAGCAAUAUUUAGCUUCUCUAAAGUUUACCAACUUCUGUAGGAAGUUUGUCUAUAAAGCUCACCAAAAAUGUCAGGUACUUUACCUUUCGGAUGUUUACAAGCUACCAGCUUAAAAGAGAUCACAGAAUGAACCAAGGGGCUGGGGGGAUUGUUUUGUUUUGUUGUUGUGCUAUCUCAGUGACUCAGGUAAAUCGUCAUCUAUGUGUAUGAACUGAGCUAAAUUAAAAUAAAUCACUAAGCUUAUUCAAGUCUGCAUGAACGCAGGUUCUGAUUUUCUUUUUUGAAUACAUUUAAAACAUGAGAAGUAAUAUCAAGUUCUAUGAAUGUUCAUGAAUAAAGCUGUAGAAGAAAGAGAACACAUAAGCAGUAAUCAUCAAAUUAAGUAGCAGCUAUUUUGAUUUCAGAAAUGUAAAACUGCACAGGUCACAGAACAUAGCUUUAUUCUAUCGUCUCAAUCAUUGAUGGGGUAUGAGGGGUAUGCUUUGUCACAUUCAGUGAGCACUGAAGAACUUUGAGAUGAGUUAACUGGAACUGGGACUUUAUCUAAGAGACAUGCAAGCACACAAACAGAAGCAGUUCUGAUGUGGGAGCAUGGGAAAUAGGAAAUCUUGCUUUGUAAGUGCCCUGUUCCAGCCCCUACAUGCUCAAAAGCGAGCUUGACAAAACUCAGAUAAUACAAACAAAAGUUGGGAAAGAUAACACAAUAACGAGAGAUGUUAAGCCAACUGCUGCAUCUGAGAGAAGUUAGGUAAGUCAUUUUUCAUAUUACCUGCAGUAAUUUUUACAAUGAACCCAGAAGAGCAGUGACUCAGCUUCUUAUUUAACUCAUAACAAUGUUAAGACUGCUUUAAGUUGCAUCUUUUUAAAAUGCACGCAAUGUACAAUGAAUGAGGAAUCACUUUGUGCAAUGUAUGAUGAAUGAGAAGAUAUUAACAGUUUUGCUUGUGUAACAGCUGUCUUUAUGACUACAUCCUAGAAACAACAGCCCUCUCUUUCUCCAGCAGUAUGAACACAGUGUUCUACACUGCAAAAAAAUAGAACCACGUAUCUAAAUUCUACGCUUGUCUAUUUCAGCAGUCACUUUUUUGGCUUGACUAAAAUUACACAGUAAAAAAGGAAUAAUUGCACUUUAAUAAAAGGUUUUGGAAAGCCAACAUGACAAAUAGUUCUAUGGUUGAAGUAAUCACUGUCUACUGGACAAAUUUACUGACAACGUAAAUGUUAACGUUGCAUUAAAAAUAACUACUAUGCAAAGGGUUGCACUGCACUUAAGCAACAAGUAUAUAAGUACACUCUAAUCUAGCAAAGAUACAAUUAAGUAAACUGUAUCAUCUCUGCUUUUCUAAUCAUUCUAUAUUUAAUAAUAGUUACAUCAACUCCUUAUUUGGUCCAAGACAGGCAAGACAAGGUUUUUCUGCAAUGGAGCUCUGCCAAUACCUGACCACAACUCCGGUAGCUUAGGCAGGCUUCAUACUGUUGAGUAUCUUGGAAAGCUUCCUAAACUGACAUUGUAGUACUCAAUCUUAUUGCAUGUGCAGAUGCAGUUCUACAUGCACUUACACCAAGUUUUGUCAAACAUGCUUCUGUUCACAACCAAAAACUUCUACUCUUUAUCUGUGGUCAGCAAAACAUUUUUAUUUUCACCUCAUAUAUUCUACCUGAAGAAAAACUACCAGGCCUACAGACAUAGUGUAAGAUGAACUAUCAUUUGACAUACACCUCCUCUGUCUUGUACCAAGUUACAUCUUUUACCUUGUCUUCCUGUCCACCAGCAUGUGGAAAACACUUAACUUUAUGGUACUAACAUUGUAGGUAAUUUACACUCUGUGUUGUAAUUCUUUAUUAUUUAAUUCUUUAUUAUAGUUCCAAAAUUAUUGUUCAGUUAGAAGAUAAACCAUAUGCAGUACAUUUUGUAAGAAAAUACGUUAUUUAUUUAUUUUGUUUAAUAUCCAUUUUAAUCACUAUUCAGUAUUGAAAGAUCUUAAAAACAUUUAAGCUAAAGGCUUUUAAACACUAUUUUUCUAUCUAAAUGCAAGAACUAUCAAUAUCUCCAUUUAAAUCCUCUUAAAUAUCUUUAAUAGCACUACAUGUUAAAUCAGAAUUUGUGAUUCUUUUAUACUGAUGAAUUAUUUUAUCUCAGUAUUUAUGCAGCAAUUAUUACUUUAAGAACAAUGUAAUCAAAUUUAAAAUGCCAAGCAUACAUUCUUUUAUACUUUGUUCUUUGACUCUAUCAUACUUAUUUCCAAGGGAGAACAAAAUAGCACUGUAUCCAUUCACUGCCACUCCAGCUGACAGUUAUUUGCAAGCUAUACAUCAGUAGCUUGCUUCAUACAUUCUACUGUCAGAUUGCACAUCUCACUGAAUUAAGUCAAAAACUAGAACUUCCUCAUCUAAGAGAAAGAUAACCUAAAUUACUUUUCCAAAGGAAAAAAAAAAAAGACUAUACAUACUAUUUAAUUUUUCAAAGGACAUUAGGAAUAAACGUUCAACUGUACCU